GACGAACGCUGGCGGCGUGCCUAAUACAUGCAAGUCGAGCGAAUGGAAGGGAGCUUGCUCCCUGAAGUUAGCGGCGGACGGGUGAGUAACACGUGGGCAACCUGCCUGUAAGACUGGGAUAACUUCGGGAAACCGGAGCUAAUACCGGAUACGUUCUUUCCUCGCAUGAGGAAAGAUGGAAAGAUGGUUUCGGCUAUCACUUACAGAUGGGCCCGCGGCGCAUUAGCUAGUUGGUGGGGUAAUGGCCCACCAAGGCGACGAUGCGUAGCCGACCUGAGAGGGUGAUCGGCCACACUGGGACUGAGACACGGCCCAGACUCCUACGGGAGGCAGCAGUAGGGAAUCUUCCGCAAUGGACGAAAGUCUGACGGAGCAACGCCGCGUGAGCGAAGAUGGCCUUCGGGUCGUAAAGCUCUGUUGUCAGGGAAGAACAAGUGCCAGAGUAACUGCUGGCACCUUGACGGUACCUGACCAGAAAGCCACGGCUAACUACGUGCCAGCCGCCGCGGUAAUAC
rnacentral:rRNA from 1 species